rnacentral:rRNA from 1 species
CGUGCAGGCGGUGACUUAAGUCGAGCGUGAAAGCUCCCAGGCUCAACCGGGAGAGGACGUACGAAACUGGGUCACUUGAGACAGAUAGAGGCAGGUAGAAUUCCGGGUGUAGUGGUGAAAUGCGUAGAUAUCCGGAGGAAUACCAGUGGCGAAGGCGACCUGCCAGGUCUGUUCUGACGCUCAGACGCGAAAGCAUGGGUAGCGAACG